AUUGAACGCUGGCGGCAUGCUUUACACAUGCAAGUCGAACGGUAGAGGGGGCAACCCCUUGAGAGUGGCGAACGGGUGAGUAAUGCAUCGGAACGUGCCCAGUCGUGGGGGAUAGCGCAGCGAAAGCUGUGCUAAUACCGCAUACGAUCUCUGGAUGAGAGCGGGGGACCGAAAGGCCUCGCGCGAUUGGAGCGGCCGAUGUCAGAUUAGGUAGUUGGUGGGGUAAAGGCUCACCAAGCCAACGAUCUGUAGCUGGUCUGAGAGGACGACCAGCCACACUGGGACUGAGACACGGCCCAGACUCCUACGGGAGGCAGCAGUGGGGAAUUUUGGACAAUGGGCGCAAGCCUGAUCCAGCAAUGCCGCGUGCAGGAAGAAGGCCUUCGGGUUGUAAACUGCUUUUGUACGGAACGAAAAGGUCUGGGUUAAUACCCUGGGCACAUGACGGUACCGUAAGAAUAAGCACCGGCUGACUACGUGCCAGCCGCCGCUGUAA
rnacentral:rRNA from 1 species